CAGGAUGAACGCUAGCUACAGGCUUAACACAUGCAAGUCAGGGCAGCAUGAAGUUGCUUGCAAACUUGAUGGCGACCGGCGCACGGGUGAGUAACGCGUAUCCAACCUGGCCCGCAGUAGGGAACAGCCCGGCGAAAGUCGGAUUAAUGCCCUAUGUCUUCCUUUGCAGGCAUCCAAUGAGGAAGAAAGAUUUAUCGCUGCGGGAUGGGGAUGCGUCUGAUUAGCUUGUCGGCGGGGUAACGGCCCACCGAGGCGACGAUCAGUAGGGGUUCUGAGAGGAAGGUCCCCCACACUGGUACUGAGACACGGACCAGACUCCUACGGGAGGCAGCAGUGAGGAAUAUUGGUCAAUGGGCGAGAGCCUGAACCAGCCAAGUAGCGUGCAGGAACCGACUGCCCUAUGGGUUGUAAACUGCUUUUAUGCGGGGAUAAACUUCAGCACGUGUGCUGUUUUGCAGGUACCGCAUGAAUAAGGACCGGCUAAUUCCGUGCCAGCCGCGGC
rnacentral:rRNA from 1 species